UACAGAGGUCUCAAGCGUUGUUCGGAUUCAUUGGGCGUAAAGGGUGCGUAGGUGGCGCCAUAAGUCGGGUGUGAAAUCUCGGAGCUUAACUCCGAAACUGCAUUCGAUACUGCCGUGCUUGAGGACUGGAGAGGAGACUGGAAUUUACGGUGUAGCGGUGAAAUGCGUAGAUAUCGUAAGGAAGACCAGUGGCGAAGGCGGGUCUCUGGACAGUUCCUGACGCUGAGGCACGAAGGCCAGGGGAGCAAACGGG
rnacentral:rRNA from 1 species